UUUCUUUACCCUAACCUUUCUAGAUCAUCUCUGGUCUGGAAUCUCUUUGGACUGCAAGUGAGCGGCAAUUGAAGUGAUCGAGGAGCUGCAAGUGGCAAGUUGCAUGCGUCUAGCAGAAAAAAAUAGAGAAGAAUCAGAAGCUAAGCAGUUGUGGAGGUGAAUGCAGCUGCCUCGACGUUCAGUUCGAUCCCCGGGAUCGAGAUGAUCAUGAUUACGGACGGGGAUAAUUAUGAGAUGCAAUAAUAACAAAACUGAGCCAGUGCAGGCAGCUUUUACAAUUAACUUGGUGGACUGUAACACAAAAAGAUACGAGGCCGCCAGAUAGAAAGAUGCAACAGCAGUUCCAGGCAACACAAUCUACGAUGACGAGGGAAUGGCCCCCAACCUGGAGGAGCUACACAAGAAACAAAUGUUGAUAUUGUUCAGAAUUCAAUUAAAUUUUUAAACAGAGCAACAGUUGCGCCGCUUGAGUGCAUCCGUUCGUUGGAGUCCAGGGACGGCUUUUAUUAUUAUCAUUGUUCUGUUUCCUUGUCUUUUUUUUCUUUGGGCCGCUGCAAUGAAAGUAGACUCACUCGAAAACAACAAAAAACUCAAGUGAAUCGCAAUGAUAGAGAGCCCACCAGUCGUCAGCAGCAGCAGCAGCAGCAGCAACAUAAAAAACUGGAUGCAUCAUACAUAGAAAACAAUAAAAUAUAAAAGAUACUAAAAAACUAGCCUGGAGAAUGG